rnacentral:lncRNA from 1 species
AAAAAUUCACAGCUUGUCCCAGAUCCGGAAGAAGUCUUAGACGACUGUGGUUCGGGAAUAGAAAGAUUCACUAGGAUGAUCAAUUUUACAUUGGGCGUGCUUGUCUUCUUUCUCCAGUUGUGGGCCUUACUUAUUUCAACAAUGAAUGUGGAUAUAGACCCUACUGGCUUCUUAGUUGGCAUCUACCUCGUUAUGCUCGCAGCACUGGCGAUAUUCGAAAAGGUCAGGAGUAUUGAUAUUGCUCGCUGUUUGACUUUAUUCGCGAUCUUGGGG